rnacentral:rRNA from 1 species
GAUGAACGCUGGCGGCGUGCCUAACACAUGCAAGUCGAACGCUGAAGCUCUGCUUUUGUUGGGUGGAGGAGUGGCGAACGGGUGAGUAACACGUGAGUAACCUGCCCCCUUCUUUGGGAUAACGCCCGGAAACGGGUGCUAAUACUGGAUAUUCUCUGGUCUACGCAUGGGGGCAGGUGGAAAGGGUAUUUCUGGUGGUGGAUGGGCUCGCGGCCUAUUGGCUUGUUGGUGGGGUGAUGGCCUACCAAGGCGUUGACGGGUAGCCGGCCUGAGAGGGUGACCUGGCACAGUGGGACGGAGCUGCGGCCCAGACUACGACGGGAGGCAGAAGUGGGGAAUAUGGCACAAUGGGUGCCAGAGUGAUGCAGCGACGCGGCGGAAGGGAUGGCGGUCGUAGGGUUGUGAACUUCUGUAAGAAAAGAUGAAGCCGUAACAAUGGUUGUGGUGACGGUACUGGAUAAAGAAGCGCCGGCUAACUACGUG